UCACGGGAGCUGAUGCUUGAUCUGGGUC
rnacentral:piRNA from 1 species